CUCUGACUCCGGCAUCAGCAGUUCUUACUAUCUCUGAAUCAAUUUUGUUGUAUCUGGUUUUAUUGAAUUGACAUUUCUUGUAUCUUCGAUCAGCAUUGUUAAGCUUUUGCAAGAGCAUCAAGCCUUGCCUCAUUGUGGGCCUGCUGUGUUAUCAGAUGACAUGUACUCACUCCAUGGAUCGAAGUAGUUGGUGAGGGGUGACUACAUGGGAGAGGCAUCAAAUUGCUCAAGGAUGGGGAAAUCAGGUUGAAACCACCAAACAGCUACCACACUCAUGCAGCCUACCUAACACUGAG